rnacentral:misc_RNA from 1 species
AAAAAGAUAAAAAAAAAAAAAACUGAAAUACCCAACAAAAAAAUAAAAUAGCCAGCUCUGUAUAUGUACACCAGAGCUAAGAUUCAAGUCACGAAAAAUUCAUUAGUAAUUUAACUAUAUAUAUUUGAUUAUUUGGGAGAUAUGUAAUCUCCAGGAGGCAGGCAGGAUCAUUAGCCUAUUUAUCUAGCUCGAUAUGGAACCCGCACUGCACAAGCUCAAUCAGUGACUUGGUCUGAGUUACAAAGACAAUUGCUUGA